rnacentral:rRNA from 1 species
CAGGUAGUUGGCGGAGUAACAGCCCACCAAGCCAACGAUCAGUAACUGGUGUGAGAGCACGACCAGUCACACGGGCACUGAGACACGGGCCCGACUCCUACGGGAGGCAGCAGUAAGGAAUAUUGGUCAAUGGACGCAAGUCUGAACCAGCCAUGCCGCGUGGAGGAUGAAGGCCCUCUGGGUUGUAAACUUCUUUUAUUUGGGAAGAAACCUAUCCUUUCUAGGGUAGUUGACGGUACCAGAUGAAUAAGCACCGGCUAACUCCGUGCCAGCAGCCGCGGUAAUACGGAGGGUGCAAGCGUUAUCCGGAUUCACUGGGUUUAAAGGGUGCGUAGGUGGGCAGGUAAGUCAGUGGUGAAAUCUCUGAGCUUAACUCAGAAACUGCCGUUGAUACUAUCUGUCUUGAAUAUCGUGGAGGUGAGCGGAAUAUGUCAUGUAGCGGUGAAAUGCUUAGAUAUGACAUAGAACACCAAUUGCGAAGGCAGCUCGCUACACGGUUAUUGACACUGAGGCACGAAAGCGUGGGGAUCAAACAGGAUUAGA